GAUGAACGCUAGCGGCAGGCCUAACACAUGCAAGUCGAACGGUAACAUAAGGUGCUUGCACUUUGAUGACGAGUGGCGCACGGGUGCGUAACGCGUAUAGAACCUACCCUGUACAGGGGGAUAGCCCAGAGAAAUUUGGAUUAAUACCCCGUAGUAACUUGAUAUGGCAUCAUAUUAAGUUUAAAGUUUUCGGAUGGUACAGGAUGGCUAUGCGUCCUAUUAGUUAGAUGGUGAGGUAACGGCUCACCAUGGCAGCGAUAGGUAGGGGCCCUGAGAGGGGGAUCCCCCACACUGGUACUGAGACACGGACCAGACUCCUACGGGAGGCAGCAGUGAGGAAUAUUGGACAAUGGGCUAAAGCCUGAUCCAGCCAUGCCGCGUGCAGGAAGACGGCCCUAUGGGUUGUAAACUGCUUUUAUACGGGAAGAAUAAGGGACACGUGUGUCCUGGUGACGGUACCGUAAGAAUAAGGACCGGCUAACUCCG
rnacentral:rRNA from 1 species